UAUUUGCUUUCCCCACCAAAAAUUUAUUGGUCGGAUGUAAUAUAAUGCUUUAUUUGGUUUCUUCAACUUGUGGGCAGGUUGUCUCAAGAAGAACUCAUGGCAGAGUUGCCCUCUUUCUUACCAGCUCUUUUUGAUGCAUUUGGAAAUCAAAGUGCUGAUGUCCGCAAGACAGUUGUAUUCUGUCUGGUGGACAUCUAUAUCAUGCUCGGGAAAGCAUUCCUGCCAUAUCUAGAGGGACUUAAUAGUACCCAAUUGCGCUUGGUAAUAAUUUAUGCUAACCACAUCUCACAAGCUAGAACGGGAGCCCCUAUAGAUGCUAGCCAAUGAUGUCUUCAGUAUGGAGUUUUGAUAGUGUUCCAAAUUCAUUGUUGUGUAUUUUGUGUAUGGUGUGAAAAUGCAAUUCGUUUGUGUGGGUGUAUCCAUUUGUGGCAUUAUGGUUUAGAAAUAUAGUUUUUGGUGUCCACCCUCUUGUUUGACGCUGGUGGGAGGUGGUUAUGUGGUGGUGAGUGGAAAGAAAUUGUAUGAAUUGUUUUUCUUGUCAAUAUUAAAUUAUUCUUUCGAAUCA